rnacentral:rRNA from 1 species
AAUGAACGCUGGCGGCAUGCCUAACACAUGCAAGUCGAACGAGUGGCGGACGGGUGAGUAAUGUCUGGGAAACUGCCUGAUGGAGGGGUCUAACUACUGGAAAAGGUAGCUAAUACCGCAUACCAUCGGAUGUGCCCAGAUGGGAUUAGCGAGUGGGUGGGGUAAAGGCUCACCUAGGCGAAGAUCCCUAGCUGGUCUGAGAGGGUGACCAGCCACACUGGAACUGAGACACGGUCCAGACUCCUACGGGAGGCAGCAGUGGGGAAUAUUGCACAAUGGGCGAAAGCCUGAUACAGCAAUGCCGCGUGUAUGAAGAAGGUGUUCGGGUUGUAAAGUACUUUCGGUGGGGAGGCGUUACCCACAGAGGAAGCAACGGCUAACUCCGUGCCAGCAGCCGCGGUAAUAC